rnacentral:rRNA from 1 species
CCCUUAGAUGUUCUGGGCCGCACGCGCGCUACAAUGGUCUUCGCAAACGGAUGCAUUCUCGAAGGAGAAUGCCAAUCUUGGAAUCUAUGCCUUGGUCGGGACAGUUGCUUGCAAUUUUUCGACUCGAACCAGGAAUUCCUUGUAAUCGUGAUUCAUCACAUCACGAUGAAUACGUCCCUGCCCUUUGUACACACCGCCCGCCGCUCCUACCGAUCGAAGAGUUAGGUGAAUUGUUUUGAUCGAUAAGAUUUGACUAUGGUCAACUCUCGUUGUGAAAUUCUGUGAAUCUGACUGUUUAGAGGAAGGAAAAGUCGUAACA